GCCAUAGUACAUAUUAAAAGUGCAUAGUCUUUCAAGAUAAUUAAAACAAGAGAAGUACAUUCAUAUUAGAAAAUGGGAAUUUAUGCAAUGAAAUUAUCAGUACGUAUGGAUGACUAAGAGUCUUAUCCUGCAUUAGGAAAGCUGAAGGAGGUAAAACCAAUGACAUAUCGAAUUUAAAUUGCUUGCAUAGAUUUCAAUAAUAAUGAACAUGAAGUGAAGACAAUAAAAGUACCUACCUGGAAAACAUUAUCAUUUUGCCCUUAUUCACUUCUAGUCAGUCUCUCCAUCAUAAUUAAGCCAUAGGAUCUGUUUUCUUUGGAGUUUCUGUUUCCUUUGCAACAAAUAUAGCAAUAACUUGAACAAAUAAAACUAAAAAUUCAUAUUGAAAAAUUUAAAACUCACACGUACGACAUACAUAGAUGCAUAUAGACAUAUGUACCUGGCAGAUGUGGAGUAAGGAAACGUUGACGGAAUUGCAUACUACAGCAUUGAUCCAGAAGGAUGAGCCAAUGCUAAGAUUGAUGCAUCCUAAGACUGACUUUUGUCAACUAAAUCUUUACCAUGCUUGCAGCCUUCUCUUAGCAAUGCUUUCUUUUGUAAUCACAAUCAUUUACAUAUAGCAUUAUACAUCUGUGAGAUGUAUAAUUUUUGAAUUAACUCCACAAAACAGUAUUUCCUAAAAACAGUAUUUCCUAAAAUUAGAAACAGUAGAUAAUAUAUGCCAAUAAUUAGUUCAUAUGAAAAUUAAAGAAUUUUGAACGAAGGCAUUUCAAGAUUACAAGAACUUUAACUACCUUCAUUAUCUCCUAAGAAAAGUAAGUACUUGGGUAAGAAUCAACAACAAUUUUGUAUGCACGAUUUGCAUGGUAGUAGGAACUAACACUCUCACAAGAUUACCAGUGGCAAAAUCAUUUGUAAAAUUGACAAUGUUAACUCUGUUGGAAACGUAAUUUGCAAUUAUUAUCUAGAUUCAUGAAUUAUAGUUAUACAUGCAUUUGUCCAUUAAUGUACUAGAGGAGGAGAAACGUAUCUAUUCAAUGUUGGUUCAUGAGUGAGGCUAGAUACAUGUUAAAUCUUAUCUAUAAAUACCCAUGUAACUCAAGCCAUUAAAAGUAUCGAAGUCACCAAAAUUUACAGUAUAAUAUCUUCUUUUCUACAAUCAUAAAAAAGUGCAGCAGCACUAUAUUACGUAUAAUUUCGAGCAUUCGAUAUUCCUUCUUUUUCAUUCGGUUUUUAAUCAUUUCCCAACAAAUUUUUUGGUAUCAGAGUUUAGUUCUCUAUACGUAUCUCAAAUUUUAUUUCCUCUCUCCAAAGCAUGGCAGCAAAUCAUGUUUCUACAUCCAUGUUUUCCUAUACUCCUAACCAAGUUCCCAUAUUUGAAGGAGAGCAUUUUGAUUAUUGGAGUAGUCAAAUGGAGACACUCUUCAUUUCGCAAGAUUUGUGGGAAGUUGUUGAAGAUGGAUUUUCGGAACCUGAUGAUAAUGAAGAAGAAGAAGAAGAAGAAGAAGAAGAAUGGACGGAGGCUCAACAAAAAGAUCACAAGAAAAAUUUACGGAGAGAUGCAAGUGCUCUUAGAUUUAUACAAUAAGGAUUAAGCAAGACCAUAUAUCCUCGAAUUCACGGUGUCAAAAGAGCCAAGCAAGCUUGGAAUAUCUUAAAUGAGGGAUUUCAUGGCAAUGACAAGGUGACAUCUCUAAAGCUUCAAUCUCUUUGGAAGGAGUUCGACAAUUUAUCAAAAAAAGAUAAUGAAGUUAUGCAAUUCUAUCUAACUCGAGUCUCCGAAAUAGUAAAUCAAAUCAAAAGCCUUGGCGACACAAUUGAAGAAAAAAAAGUUGUUCAAAAGGUCCUUCGAAGCCUUCCCGCGAAAUAUGAUUAUAUUGUCGCCGCUAUUGAAGAAUCAAAAGAUUUGUCUAAAUAUACUUUUAACGGUUUGAUGAGUUCCCUGCAAGUACAUGAAGAAAGAAUUGGCAGGUUCUCAAAUCAGCCACUUGAGUUACAUGGGUAUUUAUAGAUAAGAUUUAACAUGUAUCUAGCCUAACUCAUGAACCAACAUUGAAUAAAUACGUUUCUCCUCCUCUAGUACAUUAAUGGACAAAUGCAUAUAUAAUUAUAAUUCAUGAAUCUAGAUAAUAAUUGCAAAUUACGUUUCCAACAUCCUCUCUUAAUUUGCAAUUUUGAGGAUGAACUCGGUCAUGUUAGACCACCUCAAAGUCCAAAUCCUCGCCCACCAAGAUCGUCGGUUCGAGAUGAAAGUUCAAGUUCCGAUUCACCGAUUAAAAAGACUCGAUCCUUGAGAGAAAUUCUUGAGACAUCUGAAUUUGCUCUCUUUACCUGUGAACCUCAAAGUUUUGAAGUCGCAGUGAAGGAAGAAACAUGGAGAAAAGCUAUGCAAGAGGAGAUUGCCAUGAUAGAAAAAAAUAAAACUUGGGGAUUAGUGGAUAUGCCGAAACACAAAGAUGUUAUAGGACUGAAAUGGAUUUUCAAAACAAAGUAUAAUGAAGAUGGAAGCAUACAAAAACACAAGGCUAGGCUUGUAGCGAAGGGAUAUUCUCAACAACCGGGAAUUGAUUUCAAUGAGACGUUCUCACCGGUUGUUAGAAUGGAAACUAUCAGGGUUGUUCUUACUCUUGCAGCGCAGUUGGAGCUUCAGGUAUUCCAACUUGAUGUCAAAUCAGCUUUCCUUAAUGGAGAGCUUGAAGAAGAAGUUUAUGUACAACAACCUGAAGGAUUUGGAGUGAAAGGGAAAGAAGAUAAAGUGUAUCGCCUCAAGAAAGCACUUUACGGACUGAAGCAAGCUCCAAGAACUUGGAAUAGCAAGAUUGAUGGCUAUUUUCUCAAGAAUGGAUUUCAUCGAAGUCCUAAUGAGCCCUCUCUCUAUGUGAAGAAGCAAGAUCAUGAUUUCUUGAUUGUGUGCAUCUACGUAGAUGAUCUUAUCUACACUGGCACCAAUAUAAGGUUAGUCGAGGAUUUCAAGCGAAAAAUGAUGAAUGAAUUUGAGAUGACUGAUUUAGGAGUCAUGAAGUAUUUUCUUGGAAUACAAGUGAAGUAGUCCAAAGGAGAAAUCUUUAUUUCUCAAGAGAAAUACACAGAAGAUCUUCUGAAGAAAUUUUAUAUGGAGAAUUGCAAAUCAAUUUCAACUCCUAUGGCAGCGAAUGAUAAGUUGAGAAAAGAUGGCGGAGCAAAAAAAUAGAUGCAAAACUGUUUAAGAGUCUUGUUGGUUCACUGAUUUAUCUCACAAACACAAGGCCGGAUAUCGUUCAAGCCGUGAGCAUGAUCUCAAGGUUCAUGAAUGAACCAAGUCAACUUCAUUUUGCAGCAGCUAAAAGAGUUGUGAGAUACUUGCAAGGAAUAAAGAAAAUAGGCAUCAAAUAUGUAAAAGAAAAUGAGAGCAAGUUGAUUGGAUAUAGCGACAGUGAUUGGGGAGGUUCGUUGGAUGAUAGGAAAAGCACUUCAAGUUAAUUAUUUUGUCUCGGAACUAAUGUUGUUUCAUGGAGUUCAAAGAAGCAAAAAACAGUAGCGUUAUCAUCCGCGGAAGCUGAGUAUAUUGCUGUUACAGAUACAACUUGCGAAGCUAUUUGGUUGAGACGAUUACUAGCAGAUUUGAAACAAGUUCAAAAACAGCUCACGGUAAUUUAUUGUGACAAUAUGUCUACGAUAGCCAUGACAAAAAAUCUGGUGUUUCAUUCAAGAACAAAACACAUUGAGUUGCGACAUCAUUUCAUCCGAGAUAUGGUGAGUAAUUGUGAAAUCAGCUUGGAAUUCAUUGGAACGAAUGAGCAACCCGCAGACUUUCUAACCAAGGCGAUCUAUGUCGAGAAAUUUCAAAAAGCAAGAGACAUUCUCAAAAUUGCAAAUUAAGAGGGGGUGUUGGAAACAUAAUUUGCAAUUAUUAUCUAGAUUCAUGAAUUAUAAUUAUACAUACAUUUGUCCAUUAAUGUACUAGAGGAGGAGAAACGUAUCUAUUCAAUGUUGGUUCAUGAGUUAGGCUAGAUACAUGUUAAAUCUUAUCUAUAAAUACCCAUGUAACUCAAGCCAUUAAAAGUAUCGAAGUCACAAAAAUUUACAAUAUAAUAUCUUCUCUUCUACAAUCAUAAAAAAGUGCAGCAGCACUAUAUUACGUAUAAUUUCGAGCAUUCGAUAUUCCUUCUUUUUCAUUCGGUUUUUAAUCAAUCCCCAACAAACUCCAUAUUCAAUUUGAAAGACUGAGUUAUAGCACUUAUUUGUCAUAGUGCCAUCAAGACAAAUCAUAAUAUUUUGAACGGCUUUCAAUAUGUUUUUGUACAUGAGUAUGUUCAUUAUAUUUUUGUGACAUAUUACAAAUAAACAAAUAGUAAAGAACUAAAAGCAUCAAAUAAUGUAUGCAUUAAAUUAUAUUUAAGAGAUCAUUGUAAUCAGAUAUAAAGUCAAAUGACUUCGUACGACAAAAAUGGAACACAUUUAAAAUUGACAGUUUGUUCGACAGAGAGAAAAUAAACAAUGCUGAAUACAACACAAAAGAAGAUGAAGAAGUUCGAGUGUACAUUCACAGUGGCUACAGUUUUCAAAUGGUUGCACGGAGAGAGAAAAUCGAAAUAUAGAUAUUCAGUAUACAUGAAGGCCAACUAUAAUGUUAGUAACCAACAUAGAGCAAAUACACUUCAUUAAGUUGAUAGCAUCAAUAAAUUAAUAAUAUCAAAUCCUAAUAAUCGGAAGAUAAAGAAUCUAAACCUCAAUUUAUAGCAAGAUGUCGCACGUCAAUAAAAAAUCAUCGAAAAAUUUGGAAAUCAUUAAUUUGUCUCUAUUUGUAUUUUGAAAAGAAUUUACAUGUGGAGAAAGAUCAGAGUCUAAAAAUGAAAAAGCCAAGAAAAAAGAUAAGAUUAUAAAGAAAAAUUAAAAUUAAUUGAAGAGAGGAGGAAAUAUUUGGCAAAUUUGAGUCUUACUUGAGUAAGAAGUCAUCAAUUUUCUUAGGACAGAAGGCUUUUUCAUACAAAUGACCCAAUCAUUUAUUCUAGUUGAAUUUUGGAGCUUGUCAGCAUAAACUAAAGUUAAAUAGAAUUAUGGAAAUUAUUUUUUGGAAACCCCCCUGACACACGCAAACAACAGAAAGUACAAAUGUUUGGACUCAGGGAUACCCUUUUUUUUUUUUUUUUGAGUCAGUAAGUUCAACAAUGGAUAUUAAGAAAUCCUAUUAUGCAAGUAUUGACACACAUUUUAUUAAAUAAAACUUUCAAUGGCUACCGACUAAAAUUAACUAAUUAAUGAAUGAAGGUUAAGGAAUAUAAUCAAAUUCCAGAUGCACAUUUUGUGCCAUGGUUGAGUUUUAUGAAUUAAUAAGUCAGUCAUUAUAGUAGCUAAAAAUGUAAGCAUCCUAUGUCUAAAUGUAUGUAUGUAUGUAUGUAUGUAUGUAUGUAUGACUAACUGUAAACAUGAUCAAACGCGAAAGUUUGGACUAUCGAAUUACCUCCAGCCAUUGUUGACAUGAAAACGUUUUGGAACCGAAAACGUAGCCGUUGUUCUACGAGUUUGAGAGCUUCCAAUGCCUAAUGCCUCCUUCCAGCCUCUGAAUGAUGGUGUAAUAUAAAUGAGUAGACGGAAUGGCAUUAGGGACCCAAACAAUGUUUCUUUUAUAAGCUCGGUCCAUCACCAAUUCUUUUCCAUAAUUGUAGGCAUUAUAAACUAUUCACAGCAACUUCCAAAUUGGUCAGACUUAUUAUUGGAAGCGCAAAUCAUUGAUUAAUGGAAGAUUUAGGCCACACACACGAUUUUCCUUUAUUAGAAAUGGAAAAUUUCCACAAACAAUACAUAUAGAAAGAGCGAAAGAGAGAUGAAUGCAUUGUCCAAAGGAAGUACAAGUUCAAAUAAUUUCAUUUUCUUACCUUUUGCCAAGCUUUAAGCUAUUUUCCACAUAAAUAGAGCUAGUAUCAACAUAAAGAACAAGAUGAGAAAAAAUCCAAAUGAGGAACCCAGCUGCAUCUUAUACGCAUUACUGCCUCAAAGCUUGGAUAUUCCUCCAAAGAUCAUUGCAAAGUUUAGCAGGGCCCAUCCCAUUGCCAUAAUGUAAUGACAAGAAAACAUAAAAUGUUACGUGCCAAUUUCUGAAUCUCAAACUAUCUCAGAUAAAUUUGACCUCUAUAUAUUGUUUUAAUAGUUAGGACAUGAGAAAAUCUGAAAAAGAAGUUACAGUCAUAAAAUAUAAGGGGUUUAGAAUGAAAUAAGUCCCAAUGUGAUCUCAAACAAAAUAAUCCACCAAGCUGUAAUUAAAUUUUUCAGGACGUCCACUGAGAAAAUAAUCAAGUGAGG
rnacentral:lncRNA from 1 species